rnacentral:rRNA from 1 species
AGCUUGCUUCUUUGCUGACGAGUGGCGGACGGGUGAGUAAUGUCUGGGAAACUGCCUGAUGGAGGGGGAUAACUACUGGAAACGGUAGCUAAUACCGCAUAACGUCGCAAGACCAAAGAGGGGGACCUUCGGGCCUCUUGCCAUCGGAUGUGCCCAGAUGGGAUUAGCUUGUAGGUGGGGUAACGGCUCACCUAGGCGACGAUCCCUAGCUGGUCUGAGAGGAUGACCAGCCACACUGGAACUGAGACACGGUCCAGACUCCUACGGGAGGCAGCAGUGGGGAAUAUUGCACAAUGGGCGCAAGCCUGAUGCAGCCAUGCCGCGUGUAUGAAGAAGGCCUUCGGGUUGUAAAGUACUUUCAGCGGGGAGGAAGGGAGUAAAGUUAAUACCUUUGCUCAUUGACGUUACCCGCAGAAGAAGCACCGGCUAACUCCGUGCCAGCAGCCGCGGUAAUACGGAGGGUGCAAGCGUUAAUCGGAAUUACUGGGCGUAAAGCGCACGCAGGCGGUUUGUUAAGUCAGAUGUGAAAUCCCCGGGCUCAACCUGGGAACUGCAUCUGAUACUGGCAAGCUUGAGUCUCGUAGAGGGGGGUAGAAUUCCAGGUGUAGCGGUGAAAUGCGUAGAGAUCUGGAGGAAUACCGGUGGCGAAGGCGGCCCCCUGGACGAAGACUGACGCUCAGGUGCGAAAGCGUGGGGAGCAAACAGGAUUAGAUACCCUG